GACGAACGCUGGCGGCGUGCCUAAUACACGCAAGUAGAACGCUGAAGAGAGGAGCUCGCUCUUCUUGGAAGAGUUGCGAACGGGUGAGUAACGCGUAGGUAACCUGCCUUGUAGCGGGGGAUAACUAUUGGAAACGAUAGCUAAUACCGCAUAACAAUGGGUGACCCAUGUCAUUCAUUUGAAAGGGGCAACUGCUCCACUACAAGAUGGACCUGCGUUGUAUUAGCUAGUAGGUGAGGUAACGGCUCACCUAGGCGACGAUACAUAGCCGACCUGAGAGGGUGAUCGGCCACACUGGGACUGAGACACGGCCCAGACUCCUACGGGAGGCAGCAGUAGGGAAUCUUCGGCAAUGGGGGCAACCCUGACCGAGCAACGCCGCGUGAGUGAAGAAGGUUUUCGGAUCGUAAAGCUCUGUUGUAAGUCAAGAACGAGUGUGAGAGUGGAAAGUUCACACUGUGACGGUAGCUUACCAGAAAGGGACGGCUAACUACGUGCCAGCAGCCGCGGUAAUACGUAGGUCCCGAGCGUUGUCCGGAUUUAUUGGGCGUAAAGCGAGCGCAGGCGGUUUGAUAAGUCUGAAGUUAAAGGCUGUGGCUCAACCAUAGUUCGCUUUGGAAACUGUCAAACUUGAGUGCAGAAGGGGAGAGUGGAAUUCCAUGUGUAGCGGUGAAAUGCGUAGAUAUAUGGAGGAACACCGGUGGCGAAAGCGGCUCUCUGGUCUGUAACUGACGCUGAGGCUCGAAAGCGUGGGGAGCGAACAGG
rnacentral:rRNA from 1 species